CUGUGUCACCUCUCUCUUGCAAAGCACCCUUGGCAGGCACCGCAGCUCCCUGAGUGACUUUGGGAACAGUGGGUGCUGCCUGGUUGCAUUUGGGAUCACUUGGAACAUGAUGUGUUUAAAGCCAGCUUAAGUCUCACAAAGACCUGUAGAUAACACCCAAACAAAAGGCUGUGCUGGGGCCAUUUUGCACUUUCUGAAAUGUUUCUCAGAAUUUGGGUUCACAGGAAAUUGCAACUUUCCGGUCUGAUUCAGGAAAACAUGAAAUGUCAGAUUUUUCUGUGGAACAGAGAUUUCAGCACUCAUUCAGCUCAGCCAGCAGGUGAGGAGAAGCUUAACAGCAACACAUGGAGUUAGUGUCCACCACAGUAAUCCCUUGAGCAAAGAGCACACGAGGCUGGAAAACUCUGAAAGGGAAGUCAGAAUGACCCUAACAGAAAACCUUUCCUGAAGGAAACCACAUCUGUUCAAGCUGGCAUGGAGGACUGUUCUCAGGAGGAGCGAGAUGCAAAGUUCAAGGGAACUGCCUGUGAAGACACACGCUGACGGUGCUGGGUUAUAUAAUGUGCCUUGGUGUGAGGAAGCUCUUUGUUCUAUUUACAAAUCCCUGUAUUACUGACAAGGAAACUUUGAUGGCUGCCUUCCAAAGACAACAAUGAAGAAAGAAAGAAAGGUUUUACAAGUGUAAUUACAAAGCAAUUAAAUGUGGGAGCAGUGAGGAAGACUGCACCAAGGAACACUGAGCCUAUUUGUUUGAAAACUCCACAGGUGCUGGUUACAGCUUUGAAACACCAAGGUUAUUGUGUCUGAAGAGCAUUGUUUCAUCCACAAAGAGGUCAAAUACCGGAGAACAUUCUUGGAUAUUAUGUGAGAUUUAAACGAGACUUGUUCCUCAAAGUCUACCUUAUAAACCAGUUUAUCUGACACAAAAGCUCCCAAACCCUGAGAAAACUCAGGGUGAGAUUGGAAUAUCAAGGGAGAGGCCACAAAAUCAUGAAUAAUGCAGAGUAGAGGGAUAGAGAAUGAAUAAUCACUAUUUGCUAUAGCACGAGAACACUGAUUUUCAUUAAAAAAACAAUCACAGUCAUUUUUCUCUGCAGAAACAGGCUUUCAUUAAGCAGAUUCCUCUAAGCCAAUCUCUGGGACUCUGCCUCUACUAUUCACUUUUCUGUACUCCUCAGUAAAUAUUUAGACUGAAUGGUGUAGAGCAGAAAUGUCCUCUGGGAAUAACCCUUGAUACCUGUCACUAAAUCCAUUCUAUAUGUUUUCUGGUGAACAGUUUGGCUGUAGAGUAGAUGCUGUUCUUGAUAUUCAAUGAAAAAUUUCCCUAAAUACUUUGGGAAAGAAAAGCAUUUAUUUGUUAAAAGCACAUUAUAAAUAAUUAUAAGGUAGGGAUAAUCCUUCCAAGUUUUGUUCAAACUCCAUUUCAGACAUCAGGAGUCCUUUAUCUCAGCUCUCUAUCUAGGAAAAUAUUUACCCAUUAUAAUGACCUAAUCACAGGAAGGGGCCAGGGCCCAAUUUUCUCGUUUGCCUGCCUGUCUCAUUGUGGGGUGAGGCUUGAUGCAGGGUGUGUACCAGUCCCAGAUCCCUGUGCAGAGCCUGCAGUUGGUGCUCAACACCAACAGCAUUAACCAAUGCAGUUCUCUGGGUGCUGGGGACAGAGUCUGGGUGCUCUCAAACGCUGCCUUGUGAUAUUCAGCUUCUCCAUCAGGGCCUUCCUACCAUUUGUGCACCUCUAGGAAGCUGUGGAGAGACACCAAUGUGGCUAAAGCAAGGCUGAGUAGGUUGUUGUAAAGAAUGAGUGAAAGAUCGUAACUGAAAGACAUGUGAACCAUUCUGCUUAGGACAAAAGCAGAGCAGGAAUGUGCCCAGAUGAAGUCAUGGACAUUCAAAGAGUUGAGCUGCUGUGUUUCCACAGGUGAAGUUGCAAGCUGAUCCCUCUGUAAUAAGAUAGGGUGGGAAAGGUUAUAUAAUUAGGUUGCUUGUUGCCUUAAGCCUUCCUUCUCUGUAAUGCUAAAUAAAACAAAUGCUUCAAGGAUAUAGGUUGUUAUCCCUGAUCUGCUGCCCAAAGGGAGGAAACAGAGGGUGGUAAACAGCUGACACAUGGGUGUAGACAGUUUUUGAUUUAAUAGUGGAGAAAGGUGGCAUUUUUCAGUCUAUGCUUGGGAGGGGUGAGAUGUUGAACAGGUGAGAUGGGCCUCCAGAAGUUCUGCAAAUGCUGGAACCUUGUGGCUGCAAAUACCAAUUGAAUUUUUUUCCUCUUUUCCCUCCAGUAGGUGUGGGACCAAGAAACAAAAGUGGCACCAAAAUGCCACCUUUCCUGAAGCUCUGGAGCCAUGUGACUAUCUCUAAAAGCUCUGUGCAGAUCAGGUAUUUGUAAAUAUACUGCUUCAGGCUCACAACCUCAGCCAGCCCUUGCUAGGAACCUUACCACAUUCUGGAGUUGUGGUGUGUCUGUAGCAUCAAACAGACACUUGAAGUGUUCUGAGAGAGGGGACAGAAUACACAUAGGUGACUGACAUCUUAAGGAUUUGCCAAGGUGCCAGUGAGAUCCUAAGGUUUCUCAAAUGCAGCCACAAACUCAGUGUUCUCAGGUUAUUACUUUGAAGGAAAGAUGGUGCUUGCAGCACACAUUUACUCUCAAAUUGCCCACUAAAUUAGAGACAAUUUGGAAGAGAUCUAUGAGCAAUCUGGUUUAGCUCUCUGCAGACAUUCCUCUCCAGCCACAAGCAGCUCAUGAGCAGUUUGAGCCCAGCUCCAGUGCCAGGGAUCUGUCACCUCACUGGCAGCAGGGCUGGGCUGUCUCCUUGGUGAUCCAAAUUUUUGAUGGUGUGAGGAAAUGCGCACUCAGGGAUGGCUGAGCUCAGGGAUACUGAGGUGCCCUGCAUUGCCUCUGUGUCCCAAAGUGGGACGGAGCAAAUGGAACAACCUGUGGGCAGAGAUGCUCUUGGUCAAGAUCAAACAUGGGCUGAAAUGGGUCUAUAAAAAUUCUUGAGUCAUUCCAUAUUUAUGUGCUAUAAGGUAUACAGAGUUUUGAAGGUAAGUAAUGGAGGUAAGGAGUCCAUCACUUUCAUAGCCCAGAGAGAUCUCCCAGAGCCUAGGAAAGGGCUGUUGUCUCCUUUUAUUGAUGGUGCACUGAGGCACAAAGCUCCAGAGUACUGGGGAGAAACAUGUUGGACAAAUGUUUCUCAUUAAGAAAUGUUUAUUUGUCAGACAUGAUUCCUUUCAUGUAGUGUGUGUGGGAGUGUAUCCAUUUUAGCAAGAUACUCUAGGAAAUGUUUUCUUGGAGUCAGCAUGGAAUUUCUGGCUGAAAUGUUCCUUGGUUGUGGCAUGGUUAUUCCUGGGCUGGCUGGGAGUGUGUAGGUCACAUCUUGGAGCUGAGGCUAGCAAGGUGGGGAAUUAAAACAAGUAAAACUGAUUCUCAGUCACUUCUGGCACUGUGAUUUGUUUUUCACUGCAUGCUUUUUGUCUUUUGUUACAAGGGAGAAAGUCCUCCAAAAUGCUGAGAAGUUCUGUUUUUGUCACAGUAGAGAUGAGAAAGAUUCCAGACUCUCCAAGAUAUUGGCAAAUGGUGGAAGCUUUUCCAGCUCAGUUCAAACUGCAAUUUUCCCCAAGUCCCACAUCUGUUCUCUUGCAGAGCUGCAUACUUAACCCUGCUUUCCUGGAUAGAAAUUAAUGUAAAUAAAACAAUUUGCUUUUGAAAACUACUGCUGCCUAAUCACCUAGUGGAGAAAGGGCAAAACUGGCAGCCAGAAACUGGAGACCCAGCAGCCAUGUCCUCUCCUGUUGACUUCAUUGUCCUCUCCUUUUGACUCCAUUGUCCUCUGUUUACAAGCUGGCUUUAAAUCAUUUAGGACCUCUGUAGGCGUUUUGAAGCACUUCACACAGGACACCUCCUGAGCCAGCAAGUCCAGAGCUUUGCUGUUGCACAGGGCACUGUCUGAUGGCACCAUGGGAUCUGGGCUACCUAACAGCCCAGCAUCAACCUCAAGUUACUGGGAACAUCCACCUCAAGUUACUUGUCUUUGCCAUUACCAACUGCACAGCUGAUUUCUUUGAUUUCUUAAACUCUUCUCAUCAAUCCUGUUCUUCGCUCAAGUCUGUCCAAAGGCUCAGAAAGCGAAAUGGAAAUGUCCAGGGGUCAAGCACUGAAAUCAAGUUUUGUUCAGAUGAAAACUAUCAAGAGAGAAUAUGCUACCUCUGAGCAGGGUGGCUAGAGGGUCACUGGCUUAUUUUGCAGUCUUGCCAAAAAACUCCUCUUGGAUGUGUUGUUCAAUGCAGUUCAGACUGAUUUUCAUCCAGAAGAGCUCUUCAUAUUUUAAUUUUGGUUUCCUUUUUCUUUUCCUUUGUUCAUUGUGAAUUAUUUAUCCUGUGUUUCACCAAGGGAGUCUAAUUUUCUCAUCUUCUCCUUUCCUAAUAUUUAAGAUCUCUCUAGGUGUCUCUGCAAUACACCCAUGUUCCCUGAUUGAAGGAGUUACAGACAAAACCCGCAGUUGGCAUUUUUAGCUUGCAGAGAUAAUAUUUUUGUGGCUGUAUAUAUUUCUAUGUGCUGUAACUCUAUUUACUUUAGCAGAAGAGUCCUUAAGAUUGACGAAUGAAGAAGCAUAUUUAAAAUAUGUAUCUUGCAAAUGUGUUAAUGCCUAUAUAGGCUAUAGGUCCCUGUGGAAAUAAGAAGAGGCAUUCUUUUAAUAAACAAUGGAGCACAUCCAGUUUUCUUCCUACUUAAGUUAUUUCCAGCACAUUCACUAAAAUGCUACCAGAUUCAAUAAUAUUUGUCUUUUUCUUGGCUUCUUACAUAUAUAGCUUUCUUCCGUGACAACAAGUCCAAGAUUUUUUGGAGCUGAAGCAGGAAUGAUGAUGUGUUUUUGUUGUUGUUGUUCUUCUAACCAGCUGUCUUUGCUCAUCUUGCUGUCACUAGGAGAAGACAUCUGCUUAGUACAUUCAAUAUUUUCACUUUGAAUCUCAACAGGGAGGUCAGAGCCCAUGCAAAAAUGUCCCCCAAAAUAUUUUGUUACCACAAAUAUUUCUUUUAAGACUGGGGUACUUUGUUUAUUCAG